AAAGUCGUAACAAGGUAACCGUAGGUGAACCUGCGGUUGGAUCAUUAAAAAAAACUGGGUGUGUGCCCCGUAACCGGGGCGCGCUACCUUUUUAUAGAGUGAAGUUUUGAGAGACCCUCUCGACCCACUCUUUAAACAAACCUUUUGUGAACCGACUCGUCUCUGGCGUGGAGGGCAGUUGAGAAACUGCUUGUCAGCAUCCAAAUGUAAAUUUGCAGGUGCCGUGGACAACCCGCCAACCCUUUACAACUUAUAUACCUUAAAAUUAACGUCUAACAUUACUUGUAUCAAUUAAUACAAAACAACUUUUGGCAACGGAUCUCUUGGCUCUC
rnacentral:misc_RNA from 1 species